UACGUAGGGGGGCUAGCGUUGUCCGGAAUCAUUGGGCGUAAAGCGCGUGUAGGCGGUCCGGUAAGUCCGCUGUGAAAGUCGGGGGGCUCAACCCUCGGAUGCCGGUGGAUACUGUCGGGCUUGAGUACGGAAGAGGCGAGUGGAAUUCCUGGUGUAGCGGUGAAAUGCGCAGAUAUCAGGAGGAACACCAAUUGCGAAGGCAGCUCGCUGGGACGUUACUGACGCUGAGACGCGAAAGCGUGGGGAGCGAACAGG
rnacentral:rRNA from 1 species